AAUGUAUGUUUAACAAUGUAUUUUUUAUAUGCAAUAUUUUAAGUCAAAGUUUUAGAUUAUAUGGAAAGAAAAAAAUGUAGCUUACCUACUGCAAUAUGGUUUAUGUUUUUUUUUUAUUAUUAUUUUUAAGUAGGUUGUAGAGAUGAUACAGACUAUAGGUUAUAUAGGUUGAAGAGGGAACAGAAACAGCUGAGAGUUAACCUAGCUUAACUAAUGCUAACUAAAUAACAGCAGUCUUUUGUCUUCAGAAGAAACUGAAGAAGAAGAAAAUGGUAAAGCUAAAUUGGAAAUCACGGAAGAAGUCACUAAAGAACUGCUACAUUUGAGGUAAGAGAUCUUAUCAUGACCUCCACAGUUCCCCUGAACUGCUCCAUGUCCCAGUUUUGGGACUUUUGUCACCAGCUGCAAAGGAGUGCUGAAGUGAGGCAAUCUGUUAAUACUGAAGAUGUUAAGAAGCGCAGGAUUCACAAAAACAUCAGCAACGUCAUCUGUUAUAAAGCUGAAAAGUGAAAAAGUGAGGAAAACGCUGGAGCUGGACUAUUCCUUUAAGGCAAGGAUGGAGAGGAGCAGCCGCAGAGAGAGAGAGAGAGAGAGA